rnacentral:rRNA from 1 species
GUACACACCGCCCGUCAAGCCACGAAAGCGGGGAGCGCUCGAAGUCACUAUGCCCAACCGAAAGGGGGGCGGUGCCGAAAGCGAGACUCGUGAUUGGGACUAAGUCGUAACAAGGUAGCCGUAGGUGAACCUGCAGAAGGAUCA